rnacentral:rRNA from 1 species
UACGUAGGGUGCAAGCGUUGUCCGGAAUUAUUGGGCGUAAAGAGCUCGUAGGCGGUUUGUCGCGUCGGCUGUGAAAACUCGGGGCUCAACCCCGAGCCUGCAGUCGAUACGGGCAAACUAGAGUGUGGUAGGGGAGACUGGAAUUCCUGGUGUAGUGGUGAUAUGCGUAGAUAUCGGGAGGAACACCUGUGGCGAAGGCGGCUUUCUGGGCCCUACCUGACGCUGAGACGCGAAAGCGUGGGGAGCGAACCGG